rnacentral:rRNA from 1 species
UGGGGAAUAUUGCACAAUGGGCGAAAGCCUGAUGCAGCGACGCCGCGUGAGGGAUGACGGCCUUCGGGUUGUAAACCUCUUUCAGCAGGGACGAAGCGCAAGUGACGGUACCUGCAGAAGAAGCACCGGCUAACUACGUGCCAGCAGCCGCGGUAAUACGUAGGGUGCAAGCGUUGUCCGGAAUUACUGGGCGUAAAGAGUUCGUAGGCGGUUUGUCGCGUCGUUUGUGAAAACCAGCAGCUCAACUGCUGGCUUGCAGGCGAUACGGGCAGACUUGAGUACUGCAGGGGCGACUGGAAUUCCUGGUGUGGCGGUGAAAUGCGCAGAUAUCAGGAGGAACACCGGUGGCGAAGGCGGGUCUCUGGGCAGUAACUGACGCUGAGGAACGAAAGCGUGGGUAGCGAACAGG